AUCCAACUGACCAGUCUGAAACAUGACGAAACGCGCGUCGUGGAU
rfam:Schistosoma margrebowiei strain Zambia genome assembly, scaffold: SMRZ_contig0000928